ACUGGAGGACUAAGAAGGCUGAGUCUAAUGAAGCAAGACUCUGCUGAUACAAUCCUUCUAAAAAAAAAAAAAAAAACACGGUUGGAGAGAGCAGCUUUUAUUAGAGAAUAUCAUAGGGCUGACUGUACUAACCAACAUUC